AGUUGGAUAGCUGCAGUGUUGGUGGCUAUUACUCCUACUGAGUCAUUUAUAAGAGCUGCUAACUGAUGCAAAUGCAGAAUGGAAUGCAUGUUAGUAUUGACUGGAAGCUACUCAUUCAUUAACUUUAAUGUAUAUUGUUUUGGCAUCAAAAUUCUUAUUAAAGAAGGCAGCAGACCUGUCCUGGGGUAGUUAUGAACACAAUACUGGCAUCUUCUUCAACUACUUCCUCUACAUCUUCCCUUUCUUUCUCAUGUGGAAUUAC